rnacentral:rRNA from 1 species
UACGGAGGAUCCGAGCGUUAUCCGGAUUUAUUGAGUUUAAAGGGUGCGUAGGCGGCCUGUUAAGUCAGGGGUGAAAUACGGUGGCUCAACCAUCGCAGUGCCUUUGAUACUGAUGGGCUUGAAUCCAUAUGAAGUGGGCGGAAUAAGACAAGUAGCGGUGAAAUGCAUAGAUAUGUCUUAGAACUCCGAUUGCGAAGGCAGCUCACUAAGCUGGUAUUGACGCUGAUGCACGAAAGCGUGGGGAUCGAACAGG